rnacentral:rRNA from 1 species
UACGUAGGUGGCAAGCGUUGUUCGGAAUUAUUGGGCGUAAAGCGCGCGUAGGCGGCUAUUUAAGUCGGAUGUGAAAGCCCUUGGCUCAACUGAGGAAGUGCACCCGAAACUGAAUGGCUUGAGUACCAAAGAGGGUCGCGGAAUUCCCGGUGUAGAGGUGAAAUUCGUAGAUAUCAGGAGGAAUACCGGUGGCGAAAGCGACUCUCUGGACGGCAACUGACGCUGAGGCACGAAAGCGUGGGGAGCAAACAGG